UCCGGUUUGUCACCGGCGGUCUCCCUAGAGUUCCCAUCCGAAAUGCUGGCAACUAGGGACAAGGGUUGCGCUCGUUGCGGGACUUAACCCAACAUCUCACGACACGAGCUGACGACGGCCAUGCACCACCUGUGUAGAGCCCAAAAGGACACCGUAUCUCUACGGCUUUUCUCUACAUGUCAAGCCCAGGUAAGGUUCUUCGCGUUGCCUCGAAUUAAGCAACAUGCUCCGCCGCUUGUGCGGGCCCCCGUCAAUUCCUUUGAGUUUUAGCCUUGCGGCCGUACUCCCCAGGCGGGGCACUUAAUGCGUUAGCUACGGCACGGAGCCCGUUGAUAAGGCCCCACACCUAGUGCCCAACGUUUACGGCGUGGACUAC
rnacentral:misc_RNA from 1 species